UCCCCUCUGGCGCACGACGUCCUCGAGGUUAGCAAGGCUGACUAUGACUCCUGCAGCACCGUCAACCCUAUCGCGUCCCUCAUCUCCGGGAACGACAUCGUCACCCUCACCGCCGCCGGCACCCGCUACUUCAUUUGUGGGUUCCCCGGCCACUGCACUGGUGGCAUGAAGGUCAAGAGCGACGUCGUGUCUGACUCCUCCUCGCCAUCACUCACCCCGGCCAGCGGCCCUAUGGCAAGCAACGCUCCUUCACCCACGUCUGUCUCUACCGCCACCUCUGUGGAGGCCACGGGGUUUGGCCUCGCCGUCCUGCUUGCCUUUGCUGGUCUCAUGGCUUGA
rnacentral:rRNA from 1 species